rnacentral:rRNA from 1 species
GAUGAACGCUGGCGGCGUGCCUAAUACAUGCAAGUCGAGCGAACGGACGCGAAGCUUGCUUCUCUGAUGUUAGCGGCGGACGGGUGAGUAACACGUGGAUAACCUACCUAUAAGACUGGGAUAACUUCGGGAAACCGGGGCUAAUACCGGAUGAUAUUUUGAACCGCAUGGUUCAAAAGUGAAAGACGGUCUUGCUGUCACUUAUAGAUGGAUCCGCGCUGCAUUAGCUAGUUGGUAAGGUAACGGCUUACCAAGGCAACGAUGCAUAGCCGACCUGAGAGGGUGAUCGGCCACACUGGAGCUGAGACACGGUCCAGACUCCUACGGGAGGCAGCAGUAGGGAAUCUUCCGCAAUGGGCGAAAGCCUGACGGAGCAACGCCGCGUGAGUGAUGAAGGUCUUCGGAUCGUAAAACUCUGUUAUUAGGGAAGAACAGAUGUGUAAGUAACUGUGCACAUCUUGACGGUACCUAAUCAGAAAGCCACGGCUAACUACGUG